UUCGCUCUCCGAUUGCUUGUAGUCACUUGCAACCGGCCUCCCGCGGCACUCGGCACCCGGUUUGACCCGAUUUCGUAGUUGCACACCAACCGUGCGUCGCUUUGCAAUUCCGGGAAUUAAAGGUCUCCAAUUAGUUGCCACGACGCCCGGAAUCCGUUUCACAAUUUAUGGGCACCGCCUCGGCCCUACAGGCGGAAACGAAGCUCCGAACGUCCGUUUCUUCAAUAUCUUCGCACCGGCUCGACGAAUCGUCGAACCGACUUCGCCAACGCAUUCACAGACCUAGCAAUUAGGUUUACAGAGGGUUAAUCGAGAUCAAACCCUAUCUUAAAGCAAAAUCCCAUUUUGAGCCCUAGAUGAUCACUAUUGCAAGAAUACCCCAAAUCGAUCUUUGAUUCAUGCAAUAAACAUCUAUCUAGCAUCAAUAGGUUCCACCAAAUCCAUUUCUAGAGCUUAAGAACAAAACCCUAGGAUUCUACCAUUGUUAGGGCUUAGGAGCUUACCUCCAAUGGUGAGAAGGAAAAGAAGAUGACAAGGGCUCUUCUCCUAGCUUGCUUCUUCUUCUUCUCCUUCCUUUCUUUCUCUUUCCUUCCUCCUCUUCUUCUCUUUUCUUUCCUUUUUCUUCUUUUCCUUUCUAGAGAGAGAGAGAGGGGUUUUGGGGUUGGGCUCAAAAGAAACGAGAGGAAGAGAGGGAGAAGCAACCCUCUUCUCUAAUACCAUUUGCACAUAUGCAAAUAAGCCCCUCAACUUCACCAACAUCACCCAGCCCAUUCUGGGCAUUUUCGUGGUACG
rnacentral:lncRNA from 1 species